rnacentral:misc_RNA from 1 species
UUAAUUCAUUGAAUUUUUUCUCAGACGACACCAAUUUCAGAGUUUAGUGCUCUUGCCUGGGCGCCAUCAGGCUCCACAGGCAAGACAUUACGGCUAGGUAACACAGGGGUUGGAGGUUCGGAGGAGCCGGCGGACCGGACACCUCCUUUUCUCUUUUAAUGAUCCUUCCGCAGGUUCACCUACGGAAA